AUCUUUCUGGAUCUAUUCUAGAGUAGCCACGAGGGAACGUACACAAAAGCUCGUUUUCCGCCAUUUUAGCUCCGUGUCGCGAUUACCUAGAUUUCACUGACUUCUGAUUGGUGGAAGCAAAUAGUUUAUUAUGACAAUAGUGGAAACUUCUGAUGAAAACUGGCGACAAGCUUCAGCCCGCCAUCUAGUGGUUUGAGGAGAUAACUACGCUUCACUCCAUUUGUACCGCGUGUAUAAGGAGACGUUUUUGGAAUGGCCGGAAGAGGGGUUAUUUGCGCUAUGUAUGGCUGCUUUAACUAUAAGAUACAAAGUGAUCGCAAGUCGUUUUACAGAUUCCCUAAAAACAAACAAGUAUGCACUCAGUGGGUUGUUAAAAGCAGAAGGUCCGACUUAGACAAUAUAUUAAAAACAAAAGGGCCAGAAUAUUUAAAUAGAAACUGAUGACAAUUGCAGAAUGCUGUAUCCAAAUGGGUGUGGGAAAAAUUAUCUUCAGAAAUGUCAGCAAUAUUUCAAAACAAUUUUAAUAUGUUUUUGUUACAGAGCCCAUAUGGAAUUAAAAAUAAAUAUUUCAAAGUCCUUAUUAAAGCAUAUGUGACAAAAAAUAAUGAUUCAUCUGAAAGUUUUCUGAGAACAAAAAAUGCUAAAUUAAAAAGGAUUGCACAUAUGUAAUAACUGUAUUAUCCAUGACCUGUAUGAUCAAACUGUGCACAUAAUACAUUUUGAUGUUCAAUGUGUUCUAAUUUAAUAAAAUGAAAUUAAAACCUCAGAUUUUAAUUUUAAAAAUCUGACUCAUUGCAUUUGAUUUGUUUUGUUGCUAUUAUUCUUUCCUUUGAAUCACUAUCCAUCAACGUUUCCUACUAAAUAAAAUUAUAAUUCAUGUUUUAAGAUCAUAAAAUAAAGACAAAAAGAUGAUAAAAUAUUUAUUUCGUUGCAUUUUUGCAAGUUUUGUUA